rnacentral:rRNA from 1 species
AUUGAACGCUGGCGGCAGGCCUAACACAUGCAAGUCGAACGAGUGGCGGACGGGUGAGUAAUGUCUGGGAAACUGCCUGAUGGAGGGGGAUAACUACUGGAAACGGUAGCUAAUACCGCAUACCAUCGGAUGUGCCCAGAUGGGAUUAGCUAGUAGGUGGGGUAAAGGCUCACCUAGGCGACGAUCCCUAGCUGGUCUGAGAGGAUGACCGGCAACACUGGAACUGAAACACGGUCAAGACGCCUACGGGAGGCAGCGGGGGGGAAUAUUGCACAAUGGGCGCAAGCCUGAGGCAGACAGGCCUCUUGUAUGACACAGGCCUUCGGGUUGUAAAGUACUUGCAGCGGGGAGGCUUUACCCGCAGAAGAAGCACCGGCUAACUCCGUGCCAGCAGCCGCGGUAAUAC